AUCUUCGACAAGAGCUGAGUGUAAAGGAAAAGGAUGAACCCGGGCCAGACAAUGAUAAAGCCCUGCAGCAACAUCACCAAAAGUUACAUCUUCAGCCUCCUCAAAAGCAAGAACCAUCAACAGCUCCUGAGGAAAACAUAGAUUCCAAUAAGCUUAUGUCUAACACACAGCUCUCAGAGUCUGUGCCAACUACACCUGUAAUAUCACAUCCCCUGCACAACAUGAAUCAUGGAAAUGUGCCUAUGACUCCUUCUGCUAGGAUAUCUGCCCUCAAUAUUGUUGGUGACCUUUUAAGAAAAGUUGGGGGCACUGGGUUGUUUAGGUGCAGCAUUAGACCUCAGCAUUGCUAGUUGUUUAGGACAAGAAGAAAUUAUCAAUUGCAUUUAAUUUCUACAACAGCUGAAUGAUGGCACUGGAGUCGCGUCUUGCCUCGUGUCGUACACUCGUGAAGGACAACCAACGCCCCCUCAGCCUGCCUCCACCCGGCAA
rnacentral:misc_RNA from 1 species